rnacentral:piRNA from 1 species
UAGAUGAAGUAAGAUGACUGUUCAGAUCACC